CUCGUAGGUGGCUCGUCGCGUCCGGUGUGAAAGUCCAUCGCCUAACGGUGGAUCUGCGCCGGGUACGGGCGGGCUGGAGUGCGGUAGGGGAGACUGGAAUUCCCGGUGUAACGGUGGAAUGUGUAGAUAUCGGGAAGAACACCAAUGGCGAAGGCAGGUCUCUGGGCCGUUACUGACGCUGAGGAGCGAAAGCGUGGGGAGCGAACA
rnacentral:rRNA from 1 species